AUUUGGGUGGCUGUUGGCCAAAUUUUUCUUCCCCAAUUUAACAUUCAGAUUCAAUCUGUCCCCAAUUUUUGAACCCCACUCUUGAUAUGUUUGUCUUUACUGCUUCGGCUCAUUUAGCACAUGAUGCUUAACAGUUUCUCCUAACGAUAGCAAGUGAUGCUCAAGUUAUUGUGACUUCUCUUUCAGUUCUCCUUUAGCACCGUUGGUUUCUGCUUCAAUGCCUCUUCUAAUUCUUGCUUCUUUGUUGAAAGUUCUGCAUUGUUCUUUUCUAGAUCAUUCACCAGCUUAGUAACAUCUUUUCGAGAAUCUGUUUUGAAUGUUUCUAUUUCUUAUUUAAAUGCUGAAAUUUCCAUGGUUUUAAUCUCAAGAUCUCUCAUCAGCUUAUCAAUAUCUUGGUUACCAUUGUUCAAUGUAUCCUCUAACUAUCAGAGUUACAUUCUGAAUUUGUCUUAACUUAAUUUGUUUGCCUUGAAGCAGGUUCUCUAACGAGCGGAUAUCUCGGAGAUCUGAAAUAAAUUACUUGGGGUGUCUUCCUGUACCUGCAACUGUGACAGCGAAAAAACUCGAACGUUGUUGUCAAGUGUUGCACAUGUUCAUUUGAAGUAUAUUGAUUUUCCAAGCACACCAGGAACCUAUCUCUAGCAAGGAAAAUUGGAAGAGAGGGACCUCUUUCUUUGUGCCUCUAGCAUCUUGUUUUGCAAGGCGAUGGAAGAGGCCUCCUCGUUCUCUUUGCUGGAGCAUGCAACAUCAUUCGCAAGAGACCU